rnacentral:rRNA from 1 species
GACGAACGCUGGCGGCGCGCCUAACACAUGCAAGUCGAACGAGCGAGAGGAGGUUUACUUUCUCAAGCGAGUGGCGAACGGGUGAGUAACGCGUGAGGAACCUGCCUCAAAGAGGGGGACAACAGUUGGAAACGACUGCUAAUACCGCAUAAGCCCACGACCCGGCAUCGGGUAGAGGGAAAAGGAGCAAUCCGCUUUGAGAUGGCCUCGCGUCCGAUUAGCUAGUUGGUGAGGUAAUGGCCCACCAAGGCGACGAUCGGUAGCCGGACUGAGAGGUUGAACGGCCACAUUGGGACUGAGACACGGCCCAGACUCCUACGGGAAGCAGCAGUGGGGAAUAUUGCACGAUGGGGGAAACCCUGAUGCAGCGACGCCGCGUGGAGGAAGAAGGUCUUCGGAUUGUAAACUCCUGUUGUUGAGGAAGAUAAUGACGGUACUCAACAAGGAAGUGACGGCUAACUACGUG